rnacentral:rRNA from 1 species
GAUGAACUCUGGCGGCGUGCCUAAUACAUGCAAGUCGAGCUAACAGACGAGGAGCUUGCUCCUCUGACGUUAGCGGCGGACGGGUGAGUAACACGUGGAUAACCUACCUAUAAGACUGGGAUAACUUCGGGAAACCGGAGCUAAUACCGGAUAACAUGUUGAACCGCAUGGUUCAACAGUGAAAGACGGUCUUGCUGUCACUUAUAGAUGGAUCCGCGCCGCAUUAGCUAGUUGGUAAGGUAACGGCUUACCAAGGCAACGAUGCGUAGCCGACCUGAGAGGGUGAUCGGCCACACUGGAACUGAGACACGGUCCAGACUCCUACGGGAGGCAGCAGUAGGGAAUCUUCCGCAAUGGGCGAAAGCCUGACGGAGCAACGCCGCGUGAGUGAAGAAGGUCUUCGGAUCGUAAAACUCUGUUAUUAGGGAAGAACAAAUGUGUAAGUAACUAUGCACGUCUUGACGGUACCUAAUCAGAAAGCCACGGCUAACUACGUG